rnacentral:snRNA from 1 species
CUGCAGAUUGAUUGAUUGUAAA